rnacentral:lncRNA from 1 species
UAUUAUUCCAUUAGGAUGUAAGAAAUAAUUGAAAAAAGUUAGUGUAAGAUAUAGUUUAAUUUUAAUAAUACAAGAUGGUCCAACUUUUCUAUUAUGCCUUUUUGCUGUAUUUAUUUAGUAUGCAAAAUUAUGGAUUCAUAAUUUUAUACAAGUUCUUAACCUUUUAAAUCAAGAUUGCGGACAAAUAUUAAUAGUUUUAUAAUCUCUUAACAUAUUUAAUAAAGAUCGAUGGAACUUUAAUUAUGUUUUUUAGGACAUUUAUACUUUGUGUGGUUAAUUAAAUUUAUCCAAUAUUAUAAAAAAAAUAUUAUUGGAUAAAUUCGAAUUAUCUUACACAAUUUGGAUAUCCUGGGCAAUUUACUUACUGUUGUUUUUUCCAUAAUACUUCAUUUUCUAAUAUUUUUAAGUGAACAUUUUGGUUACAUAAAUAUUCCUAUAAAACAUAAACUGAAUAAGAUUAAUCAUUUAGAAUCAGACUUGAGUUCUCUCAUGUUUUGUAUGCUAUUACUUUUAUAUAUAAGUUUUACUAGCUGAGAUUUAUUAACCUACUUUCAUUAUUUUAUGUGUACAUUUUAUUAAUUCAAUUUUUUGAUUUUGAUCAAGUUCAACCCAGCUCGAGUUUAAAUAAGUAUUUUCUACUCGUAUCUCCUAAACUUCGUGUUUUCUAAGUUUUUCUUGAAUUAUUAUUUGUUCUUCUAUUCUUCGCUUCGUGUUUUCAAAGUUAUUUCUAAGAUAUUUUUUAUUGUGUUUACUACUUCAAUAAAUUACAUAAACUAAAUCCAUUUCAAUUAUAAUAUGCAGAAUAAAUUUAAUAAGCAUUGCAGUGAGUGCCGGUAUUAAAGAUGGGGCUUACCAUAGACACAGUACUUUCAAGUAAAACAUAUUGAACCGUGCAAAAUUAUUUAGUUUAAAAGAAAUUCAAAUUAAAUUAUAAAUGCCUAGAUAUCAAUGACGUCAACAGGAUUAUUUUUUGGGUGGAGGCUUGUUUUUUUUUUGUUUUCUCUAGAAAAUUUCAGAAAUUAGAUUUUUGCUACGCUCCAUAAUUUGGUGGAAUGAAUGAAAUCCUUAAAAAAUUAUUUUAACCUCGAUUUUAAAGAUAUAUAUAUCUCGCUCAAAAAAAAAUUCUAGUACAAAUCAAAAAUUGCUUUAUUUGGAGGGGAAGGGGGUUGCGAACGCACCUGCUACAUUAAUUAUAAUAUAUUAACAUUUAUUGAUUUCUAAGAAUUAUAUAGUAGUGUCAUAUAUUAAUUAUGCAUAAAAACCGAGCUUUAAUUAAAUCUUCAAUAAGUCGCUUAAUCCAAGGAAUACUCGAUACAUAUACAUUUAACGCUCACAGUUUUUUACAUUGACUUUUUUUAACUAUUUAGGGUUAUUUUUCAUAUGUUUAGUGUAUGUCUUGGUUAAUCUUAUAUAAAUUCCUAGAAAUUCAUUAAUUAUAUAUUAUAGAGGUAUUAUUUUAAAACAAUUAAAACAGAAUAUGUUGAUUCAGAUGGAAAUUACAUUAUAGAGAUAAUUAUUGAUGAAGAUCAUAUGGAUAUGGACACUAGUAUUGUUGAUCCAGAUCAAAUGGAUACUAAUAUUGUAUUAUUAUCACCUAAAAAUGAAUCUAUUAAUAGUACUCAUGACCAUCCUGAUGACGAUAAUCUUUUUAAUAUGGAAACUCAAAAUGAGUCCAAUUAAGUGCAAAAAGCCACUUCCACAAAAAAAAAAUCCAAAGUUUGGAGCAUAUAAUAAGUAGAGAGGAACAAAAAUGAUAUUGAAAUUGAUGAUCCCACGAAAGAUAAAAAAAGUAAUCUUGUUGUACCUUACAGUUUAUAAUUUAUAUAAGAGGACAAAUUACAUCAUCUCUCACGAAGAUGAUAAUCAAAGAUUUAAUGCCGCUAAGGGCCAUAGAUCAAUCUGGUUUUAAAGAAUUUGUUAAUAUUUUGGAUCCUAGAUACAUUCUACCAUCAAGGACAAAUAUGCGUCAAAACGUUAUACCUAAAUUAGUUAAUGAAGAAAGAAAUAAGUUAUGUUGAAUUUACAAACUCAUACAAGAAUUGACCAAUGUAGUUUUUUUAGGCCUCACUACAGAUACUUGGUCAAGUGUAGGCAUGGAUGCAUUUAUUUCAUUGACAGCACAUUAUAUAGAUCAAAGAGUACUUAAAGAAAAAUUAUUGCCGAGUUCAGAAUAUAAAGAUCGACAUACUAGUGAAGCAAUAUCAAAUUUUAUAAUGACUGUUAUUGAAGAAUAUAAAAUUACUAAAAAGAUUAUUUCUAUAACUACCAACAAUGCUAGAAACAUGAAAAAGCCUAUUGAAAAUACAAUUUUUGUAAAUAUUCCAUGUGUAGCACAUAGACUUAAUUUGUGUGUAACACAAUCUUUUAAAAAAUCAGUUAAAAGAGAUAUAAUAAUAAAAAUAAAAUUAAAAAUAUUGUAAAAUCAAAUUUACUGGAAAUUAUACAACUUCGUCUUUAUCAAAGGGUGAAAAAUCUUAUUUUAAACUGCGAAACACGAUGGUAUUCAUCCUUUUUAAUAAUGGAAAGAUUUAUCAAUCUUAAAGAUUUUAUAGUAAUUUACUUUUACGAGGAUGAAAUGGAAGAAUUCUGUCAAGAAGAUUGGAAAGAAGCCAUAAAUAUGGUUUCUAUAUUAAAUCCUUUAUAAGAAGCAACCAAAAUGAUACUUGGCUCAAAAUUUUCAACUUCGUGUUUAGUAUAUGUAAUUGAAAAAAAUAUUAUUAAAAUUAUUAAAUAUAUUGUUAGCAACACAAGAAAAUUUUUUCGAAGAAUGUAAAUCCUUAUUAAUAAAUCUUAUUAGUGAAAUAAAUUCGCGGUUUUCAAUAAUUUCAUCCGUAAAAUAUAUCAAUUUGAGGAUAUUGACGUUAAAGAACCCUUCAAUAAAAAUGGUGAGAUUUAAAAAUGACAACAUUUUACAAUCUACCAUAGACAACAUUACUGCAAGACAAACGGAGUCGGUAUUAAUUUCUACUAAAAAAGAAGACAAAGAUGAUGAUGAAGAAAACACCUUAAAAAAAUACGUUAAUGCAACUUAUUCAAAAGGAACAAAAGACGAUAUCUAAAAAAAUAAGUUAUGUAAAAAAAAAUGAGUGCAAUAUAAAAGAAGAACUAAAUAUUUUCCUUGGUGAAGAAUGCCUAAGUUCCAACGAAAGCUCAUUAAAUUGAUGGUAUUGAAAAAUAUAGAUUUCCAAAGCUAUCCCAAUUAUAUUUUUCUUUGGGUAUUAUUCAAGGUUCUUCAGUUCCCUCUGAAAGGGUCUUUUCAACGACGGGAAAUACACUAAGUGAUCGAAGAAAUUACUUGUCAAAUGGCAUGGCAGAAAUACUAAUAAUAUUAAAUUCUAAUUACAAAUAACUAUUUUUUUCGAAUUUUAUAUUAUCAAUAUAGAUUUCAAAUGCAUUUAUAAAUUAUUUUCAUAAAUACUAUUAAAAUAUUAAUUAAUACAGACUAAUUGCUUAAAUGAUUUAAAAUACAAAAACUUUAGACUGCAGAAAGUCCCAAAAGAUAAUUAAGGAGCUGAAGGUACUUAAAGGUUGUUUAUUUUUUAUAUAUAUAAAAAAUUAUU